CUACCUCUAAGACCACUCUGUCUGGGGAACAUGGCCGCCGGAGCAAAGCUAAGAGGCCAGAGCAGCAGCAGAGAGCAGACUCCCCUGGACCCAGCUCUGUCUCCAUGAAGAGUGACUGGUUUAUGGAAAGAAUUAACUGUUUUGAACCAAAAAGAGUCCAGCAGCAGAGAGCAGACUCCCCUGGACCCAGCUGUGU